rnacentral:lncRNA from 1 species
AGGGGGCACGCGGCGUCUCUCUGGUUCUCUCCCCCGGUCUCCUUCUGUCUUCGAAACUUGCCUGACCUCCCUCUGGUUGUCUCCUGCCCCGCCCUCUGUCUCUGUCUCCCCAUCUCUGUUGCUGUCUCUGUGUCCCCUGGGACCUUGAAAGUGGGUAUUGGGGCCCCGGGAAGGGACUUUGGCCGGACUCGGGCCCCACCCGAGUGGAUCGUUAACCCAGGAUGUGAGAAGUGGCUGUGUGGAGAGGCCUCACCCCUUCCCUUCCUUUCGACCUCUCUCUGGAUCUCCCUUAUCCCCCUUCAUGGCGAAACAUCCCGAGCACAGACCUGUGUUAAUUCCACCUCCACCCCUUGCUCCCGGUGGGACCUCAGACAAGCCAUCCCCUGCCUUGAGACUCAGUUUGUUCUUCUGGAAAAUGGGACCAAUGGCAACCCCUGCCUGCUGGUGUUGUGGGGGCCACAGCAAGGGAAGAGGGGAGGAAUUCGGUUGGACAGGCUGGGGGCUGUGUUCCCUGCCCAUCCAACCCCACCCCUGGGGACCCUCAGACACAGGAGAGGGGUGUGGAGCACUAUCCCAAUGCACAGAAAGGAAAGCUGAGGUUUGGAGGGGCGAGGCUUAGGGUGGGGACCCUCAGAGGUAGGGUGGGAAGGACACCCAAGCCUGUCCCACUCCUGGCAUCCCAGGGCAGCUGGUGCAGUGGUUCCAACCUAGCAGGACUGUAGAGGGGAGAAGAUGUGAUGGGUCCGGUGGGAGCUUCGAAGGGCUGGGAGAGACGGUGCUGCUGGAAGAGAGGGUGCUGAUGGUUCUCUGAGGUUGGAAGAGGGAUAAAAGGGUCAGAAGGAGGAGGAUCUGAAGAAGGAAGAUAGGUCUGAGAGAGAAGUAGAUGGUUUAGUGGGAGGAGGGGGAGAGGAUCUGAAGGAGGAGGACAGGGUCUGUUGGAGGAGGUAAGGGUCUGAUGGAGGAAAUAAGGGUCUGAGGGUGGAGGCGAGGUUUGGAGGGAGGAGGUGAAGGUCUGAGGGAGGAGACAAGGGUCUGAAGGAGGAGAUAAGAGUCUGAGGAAGGAGGCGAGGGUUUGAGAGAGGAGGUGAGGGUCUGAAGGAGGAGGUGAGGGUUUGAGAGAAUAGGUGAGGGUUUGAAGGAGGAGGUAAGGGUCUGAGGGAGGAGGUGAGGGUCUGAAGGAGGAAGUGAGGGUCUGAGUGAGGAGGUGAGGGUCUGAGGGGAGGGGAGAGUAUCUGAGGGAGAGGGCACAGUCUGAGGAAGUCUGAGAAGCACUAAGUGAGGGGACGCAGCUCUGAGGGAGGAGGAGAGAGUUGGAGGGGAAAGAAGGGUCUGAGGAAAGAAGAUUUGGAGAGAGUCUGAGGGUAGAGGCCAGAUCUGAGGGAGAAGAAAGAGGCUCAGGGGAAAAGAUCUGAGGGUCCGAGGGUGGAAGGCAUGGACUAGGGGAGGAGGAGCUGGUGGGGUGGAGGGGUGGAGAGGCGUGCCUCCGGAGCCAGCAGGGACCAAGGGGAGGGAAGGGAAGGGAGGCUGGGAGGCAGCCCCGCCCUGCAGCUGUCUCUAAUUUCCCAGAAUCUUCUGCUCUCAGGAAAGUCCCAGCUCCCACAGCAGCCUCCCUCCAAUGUCGGGAACGGAGGAUGCGGAACCAGGAUGGCCACCCCCACCCUCCCCCGGCUCCUUGCACCCCAGGCGGAAAGGACUAGGGUCUCCUUUCUCUGGGCCUUGGCCUCUGGAGGGCCCCCACCCGCAGGGGCAGCCCCUGGAUGAGUCUUAGAAACUUCCCAGAGGAGGCCAGGAAGUUCUGCUUGGUGUCUAACCACUUUCCCCUCAUGCAGGCCGCCCUUUGUACCUGUUCAGAUCUCCUCCCCAGCUGCUGUUUCUUUUUCCCCAACCCAUCCUGGGGGAGGAAAGGCCAGGAAUUUACCUGCUCAAAGUCCUGAGAGGGAAACGAAAUUCCAUCUGGAAGUCUGUAGGCUUGAGGCAGCUUUCUUGCUCUCAGGGGCCUCAAUUUCCCUUUCUAAGAGGAGAGAGUAGGGCUGGUCAGGGCCUAAGUUCCCAUCUGGCUCAAUUACUGGGUCUUGUCCUGCUUUUUUUUUGAGACAAGAUCUGGCUCUGUCUCCCAGGCUGAAGUGCAGUGGUGAGAUCAUAGCUCACUGUAGCCUUGAACUCCUGGACUCAAAUGAUCCUCCUGCCUCAACCUCCCAAGUAGGUGGGACUACAGGCAUGUGCCGCAAUGACUGGCUAAUAAAAAAAACAAUUUGUAGACUCAGGGGGUCUCACUGUGUUGCCCAGGGUGUUCUCGAACUCCUGGGCUCAAGCGAACCUCCCUCCUCGGUCUCCCAAAGUGCUGGGAUUACAGGCGUGAGCCACCGCAUCUGGCUU